GUGGCUCAGACUCAGAGGUAGAGUGCUUGCCUAGCAUGCAUGAAGCCCUGGGUUUGAUUCCUCAGUACCACA
rnacentral:tRNA from 1 species